rnacentral:rRNA from 1 species
CAUUACCAGAAUUCCAAACCAAAAGUCAGUGGAGAGAGAGGCGGUCAUAACGGUGGAAGACGUCGUCACAUUGGCGGGUUCCAUAACCGGCACAAGAUGUUGGAAGGGCCCAGGGCGGGCCGGCCGGGUCAACCUCAUCCGUGUAAUCCUGCUGCCCACUGCGCUCCCUCCCUACGCUUUAGGGCAGCAACCCCCCGCAUUGGGGGGUGGAGGCCGGAUCUAUGCAAUCAAUGCUUCGCAUCCAUCCACACAGUUGGGUGCCGGUGCGGAGUAGACUAUUGCGGCUAAAGGAGGUUCACCCGGAUGGUGGCUGACUGCGCAUGCAGGACCAUCAUGGAUGGAUCCAACCAUGCGUUCCUUCCCCUGGGGCCUGAGGGGUGUAAAAACCCCUCAGCGACCUGCUCCGACGGCGUGAAGAGGACCCCCACCGUUUGGCACCCUCUCGCCAUUGUCCCAACCAAAACCCUCUGUGUACCCUUCCCUGUUGCUUCCCCCGGGCAACUGGCUCCGGCCAGCCGGGGGGAGAAACCUAGCAAAAACCCUUUUCGCAAAACAGACGUCUGAAUGUAGAAAACAAACAAAAAAAAAAAUAAGUUAAAACUUUCAACAACGGAUCUCUUGGUUCCCACAUCGAUGAAGAACGCAGCGAAAUGCGAUAAGUAAUGCGAAUUGCAGAAUUCAGUGAAUCAUCGAAUCUUUGAACGCACAUUGCGCCCUCUGGUAUUCCGGAGGGCAUGCCUGUUCGAGCGUCAUAAAUACCGCUCCCCCUCGGAUUGCUUGCGGUCCCUGGGGGGUUCUGGCAAUGUGGAUUCCCCGUGCUUUGAGGGCAUGCGAACGGGCUCCCAGUGCUGAAAGACAUAAUGUUCCCAGCCGAAACCGGCGAUUAAUUUCAUCGGCAGGAUUCGUGGCAGGCAGACUGAGGGCGUCAACCGUGGAGUCAUGAGGAUAGAAACCUCCCCCUUUGCAAGUAACAUUGCUCUGGCAGUUAGAUCUGCAGGCCUGCCGGUCUGGGGAUGGGCCUCCCACUCGCAGGCGUCACGGCCACGAUAGCGGGCGUUAAACGGAAUCCGAUCCGCCCCUCCCUGGGUGGUUGAAGAUCCUUGUGGGCUAGCAACCCCUAAACACAUUUUGACCUCGGAUCAGGUAGGGAUACCCGCUGAA